AUGUCCUCAACAGAGAGAGCAAGAAAAGGGGGUGCCAGUGCAGCAGUGGAUGGCCGGUCCUCCCUCCCGCCUCACCUGACGGACACGUGGAUGAGGGAAGCGGGUGCAUCCUUGCCAUGUUCCAUGCCACUUACCUGGAUGUGGGGCUGGUCAUCCAGUCAGAGUGAAGCUGGGUGCUCAGCUGGAUGGUUGGGAGAAAGGAAGCUGUUCCAUUCUCCAUGGUGCGGAGGAGAAGCCAUGCAUCCCGGUAGCUGCACACAGUCUUCUCUCCACCACGAAGGCAGCCAGCCUGGGUACGAAGCCACCAUACGGAGGAAGACAGAGCCAAGAGAAGCUUCAUGCUGGCUCCCCAUCGACCUCUAGAUCGGCUCAAUCCUGCAGUCCCUCCACUGUGGACUUUCCUGGUCCAGGAGCUGAUAAAUUGCUUUAUUUUAAAGCCAUGGUAAAUUGGAUUUUUCUUUUAGUUUGCAGCCCAAAGCAUCUUAACUGCUACCCACAAUUUAUCUCAUCAGAUCUCCAUGACAACCCUGUUAUAAGAUGCUUUUAUUCCCCUUUUACAAUUGGAGAAAUACUCAGAAUGGCUGACCUGCUGUUGACUAGCUAGAUAUGGAAGUCUGGUAGAGUGGAUUUAGGAUUCAAUCAUUGGGGUUCCCCUCUUAGGUCUGUUAUGUAGUGGCUGUUUCCUCAUCUGUAAAAUGAAUAUAGUUUUUUUUUUUUUUUUUAAUCUUUUCUCCCGAGGUUGAUAUGGGGAACUGAAUCAAGUAAGAUUCCUUAGGAGGAAGAUUUCAUGACCAUAAAAUGCUGUGCUGGUGCCCCCCUUGCCUACACCUGGAGCCCACUGCUCCCCGCUAGAAAUUCAUGGUCUUUGCAUUAUUUGGGUUAUUGGUUUAACAGGUCUCAGUGCCAGCUUGUUCUCUGAGACAGGUAUAUACUCUGAUUUCUUGUUUGUACUGACAGUUAGCUUAGUACAUCCUUCCUUCAUGACUAGCAAAGAUCUAAAGUCAAACCUAGCCCAUUACCCAAUGUGUUACAAAUGGGAACUCAGCUGUAUGCCCAUAGAGGCUUUAUUUAUCAGUUGGUAGGCUUGUAGCACUCACACAGACACAUAAACCCCCAAUUCCCCUAGUUUGUUGGGUGCACAGGCCUAUACCAUUUUCCAUGAUUGGUUGGUAGAUUUUCCAUGUUCUGUUAGCAUCCCGAAUGUAUGUUUUGCAUCCUCUGCCUUCACAGAUUAAAAGGAUAAACACAUAUCAUUGUGUAAUGUUCUCAUGUUAGGAAUAACUCAGAGGUAAAAGUCCCUGUAGUUCUCAAGGCUAAUGGAAGUGAAAAACUGUUUAUAAUUCACAUAAGAGGGGGAAAAUUUAUCCUUACCAUGAAUAUACUGGACUGCUUUGCCUAAAUGAUUCAGAGGUGAUUUCCUAAAUAUAUUAAUCAUGAGUAAGAAGAAUUGUGUUCAUCUUUGUACUGUUUAUAUUAGAAUAAAGUGUUUGCCAAGCAAGGCUCUAGUUUCA
rnacentral:lncRNA from 1 species